CGGUUGUGUUGUUGUUGCUUGUUUGUGAUUUGUGUGGUUAUAUGAAUAGUUUUGAGGUUUUAGUAAAGUUUUGGUAUUGCUGGAUUUUGAUGAAUAUAUGAAUGUUCUUCAUGUGUUCAUGUUAUUUCUUUGUAAUUUUUAGUGUUUGAUCUGAAAAAGGGUUGGAAAAGUAGAAAAUGAGUGUUUGUGAAUUGCUGCUGAUUUUUUGACGUGAACAGUGACUUCUGGCCCAUUUCCCAAUGAUUGACAGGGUUUUUAUAGUGACAAACUAGGGUUGGCUCUGGUACAAAACAAAGACCAAAAUGCCCCUGCAGCUGAGACUUGGGGACAAAGGCUUAACAAAUAAAUAAAUAAAUAAAAAUAAAAAGAAUGAAUAAAAAGAAAAAGAAAAAGAAAAGCAAAAGAAAAAGAAGAAAGGGAAGACGUAUGUCUUCUUCUUUUCUUUGUUGUGUUUUUUUUUUAUAA
rnacentral:lncRNA from 1 species